GGGGUGGGGUGCUGGAGUAGACUUGCUCUAAUAGAAUCUGUUCUGCUUUCCUGGAAACCCGGGGAGGCCUAAGUGGCUAUUUCCCUCUCACUCUUCUCAAAGUCCUAAGAAGCGGGCAGAGGCCAGGGGAAGAGAAAGAGCCUUUAUGGUCCUGCUUUCUUGUUCUUCUCUUAAGAAAUACAAGUUUUCAAGGAGAAUGCCAAGAAAGGGAGGAGCAUGGAAAGAAAAUUUUAAAGUCCCUGUGUUUCCAAGAAUUGAAAUCACUUCUCGGAGGAGGAGGGGCCAUAGGAGCCAAUGUCAUCGGAGUCCUACCAUUGAGAACACUCCUUGUGCUCCAAAUCUUGAACGUGUCACUGAAGACCUCGGCCAACUUGUUUGGGACACAUUGUAGGGAAAAUGGGGCUGCCCAAGAUAAAAGCAUUUGAUUAUCAAAAGCCGAGAAAUCAAUCAAUUCUCCAAGGAGAUCUGAUCCCUUGUAAUGAAGAAUGAUAUAUACAACCAAAUCUGGUUACUAGGGAUGCUCAUUUCUACUGGAGAGUGACUGCUUCUGGACUCUCUAGAUGGACAGAGCUGGG